rnacentral:rRNA from 1 species
CGGGACGGGUGAGUAAUGUAUGGGGAUCUGCCUGAUGGCGGGGGAUAACUACUGGGAACGGUAGCUAAUACCGCAUAAUGUCUACGGACCAAAGCGGGGGACCUCCGGGCCUCGCGCCAUCAGAUGAACCCAUAUGGGAUUAGCUAGUAGGUAAGGUAACGGCUUACCUAGGCGACGAUCCCUAGCUGGUCUGAGAGGAUGAUCAGCCACACUGGGACUGAGACACGGCCCAG